UGUCCUACGGGGGGCAGCAGUGAGGAAUAUUGGUCAAUGGGCGGGAGCCUGAACCAGCCAAGUCGCGUGAAGGAAGAAGGUACUUAGUAUUGUAAACUUCUUUUGUCGGGGAACAAAGGCGGAGACGCGUCUCCGGAUGAGUGUACCCGAAGAAAAAGCAUCGGCUAACUCCGUGCCAGCAGCCGCGGUAAUACGGAGGAUGCGAGCGUUAUCCGGAUUUAUUGGGUUUAAAGGGUGCGCAGGCGGAAGAUCAAGUCAGCGGUAAAAUUGAGAGGCUCAACCUCUUCGAGCCGUUGAAACUGGUU
rnacentral:rRNA from 1 species